rnacentral:rRNA from 1 species
UACGUAGGGUGCAAGCGUUGUCCGGAAUUAUUGGGCGUAAAGAGCUCGUAGGCGGCUCGUCGCGUCGGCUGUGAAAACCUGGGGCUCAACCCCGGGCCUGCAGCCGAUACGGGCGGGCUAGAAUUCGGUAGGGGAGACUGGAAUUCCUGGUGUAGCGGUGAAAUGCGCAGAUAUCAGGAGGAACACCGGUGGCGAAGGCGGGUCUCUGGGCCGAUAUUGACGCUGAGGAGCGAAAGCGUGGGGAGCGAACAGG